rnacentral:rRNA from 1 species
GACGAACGCUGGCGGCGUGCCUAAUACAUGCAAGUUGAGCGCUGACGGCUGGUACUUGUACCUACUGGAUGAGCAGCGAACGGGUGAGUAACGCGUGGGUAAUCUGCCUUUGAGCGGGGGACAACAUUUGGAAACGAAUGCUAAUACCGCAUAAAAACUUUAAACACAAGUUUUAAGAUUGAAAGAUGAAAUUUCAUCACUCAAAGAUGAUCCCGCGUUGUAUUAGCUAGUUGGUGAGGUAACGGCUCACCAAGGCGAUGAUACGUAGCGGACCUGAGAGGGUGAUCGGCCCCAUUGGAACUGAGACACGGCCCAAACCCCUACGGGAGGCAGCAGUAGGGAAUCUUCGGCAAUGGACGAAAGUCUGACCGAGCACCGCCGCGUGAGUGAAGAAGGUUUUCGGAUCGUAAAACUCUGUUGGUAGAGAAGAACGUUGGUGAGAGUGGAAAGCUCAUCAAGGGACGUUACCUACCCAGAAAGGGCCGGCUAACUCCGU